CAUGGCCACCCUGAGCUAAGAGCUGGUCUUGGAUUUUGCUUUCUUUUGGAUUAACCGAGUAUUUUGUGGGAUUCCAUUUGAUCCCUUAACUGGCUGACCAGCUAUAACUCCUGAUUAUGUUGUUUUAGUGUUGCUCCAGGUGUCCUUGGAGGAGAAGUUGAAGGUAGUUUGCAGGAGGGAAGGUGGCAGUUAGUUUGCAGGAGGGAAGGUGGCCAUUAGUGAGCCUUCCUGGUGGGACCGGAUGGUGAGGCAGGAGCAUCUGGCCCACCAUGGACUCGGGCCAUAGAUGGGAAGUGGUCAUUUGGAGGUCACCAUCUCUCUGGCACCCUGAGCAUAGCACCUGCAUCCCUGUGCUGAGCUGCUGGUCCCCGGCACCAGCGUCUGUGCAGCUCGAGUGUUGCUGAGCCGCAGCCUCAGCAGCUUUCCGUCAGGAUUUCUCCAGCUUCAUUCUGAAUUAUCUCUGUGUGAGCUCACAAGGGUGACUGCAGAGUCCCAGGUUACCUCUCAGAUCUUCUGAAUCAAACAUAUGGUCUGCAGUUGCCGCGCAUGUCUUUGGCUGAUUUUCUGACAAUCAAAGUGAAGAAGUUCUGAGCUACGGGAAGCUGGGUUGAAGACAAGAUGGGGAAAACAUGAUUAGUUGACAGCUUUUCCCAGAGAGUUUGGAGACAAACUCAACCUUGGUAACCUUCUCAGUGGGCUUAUGAUAAGAACCUUCAAUGUGCCACAAAAAAAAAAAAAAAAAAAAGCAGCACUCCAGGUAGUUAAUCUUUGUUUAAACAACCCUUCCCUGCAACCAGCCCUGCAAAAAAAAAAAAAAAAGAAAAAGAAA